AACGCGAAGAACCUUACCCGGGCUUGACAUCCUGUGACAUCCUAAGAGAUUAGGUUUUCUAGCAAUAGAACACAGAGACAGGUGCUGCAUGGCUGUCGUCAGCUCGUGCCGUGAGGUGUUGGGUUAAGUCCCGCAACGAGCGCAACCCUUACUCAUAGUUGCUACCCGCAAGGGAGAACUCUAUGAGGACUGCUCCGGAUAACGGAGAGGAAGGUGGGGAUGAGGUCAAGUCAGCAUGGCCUUUAUGUCCAGGGCUACACACGUGUUACAAUGCGCGCUACAGAGCGUUGCAAACCCGCGAGGGGGAGCUAAUCGCACAAAAGCGCGCUCAGUUCGGAUUGCAGUCUGCAACUCGACUGCAUGAAGCCGGAAUCGCUAGUAAUGGCGCAUCAGAACGGCGCCGUGAAUACGUUCCCGGGCCUUGUACACACCGACUGUAC
rnacentral:rRNA from 1 species